GGUCAGGGGUCAUUGUGGAAGAAAGAGGGAGAGAAAGACUGUAAGAGCCAGGGAUGAUGAAUGACCACAACCGAAGCGUUUUCUGGACACAGCCGGGCAGUUGCACAUACAAACUCACAGCGGCUGUGACAGCAUGCACAAGAUCCGCACAAGCUCGAGCCAGACAUGUUAGCAUGGAGUGUGACAGAUGGGAUGGAGCCCACUCCUGGAUGAGCUAAUUGAUAGCUGUAACGGGAGAAAGAUGGUUCUCUUUAAGGGAGUGUCCCUGGCGGGUUCAACACGUUCCAGAGGACGGUCACACAUCUAAAAGUCCACAGUUAGAGCCAUGGAACGUGAUGGGUUUAAAAGGGAGCGCCCCAGCUGGGACCUACCCAAGCAAAGGCCUGUUUCAGAUGCAUGCUUUUUAAAAAAAAAAAAAAAAAAAAGAUAUUACUUUCUACAUCUGUGUGUUGGUGUGUGCAUAUGACUGCAGGUGCCUGCAUGCCCACAGAGGCUAGAGGUUCUAUGUCUCUCUGGAGCUGUGGUGACAGACGGCUAUGGGCCACCUGAUGUGGGUGCUAGCUGCAGGAACCCAACUCAGAUCAUCUGCCAGAGCAGCCUACUAAGCAUCUCUCCAGCCUCUUAGAUGCAUUUACAACCAACAAACCAGACCUGCUAUGCUCCCCCUAUGGACAGCCUUUCAAUGACUCUAUUGUACUUAUAAUGAAGGGUAAAGUCAACCAAAGAGAAAUGAAAAUUGCCAUUUAUGGCACCAGAGAUAGAAUGGAAGGGGAUACUGUGUUAAGUGAAAUGGGCCAGGCACAGAGAUACAAAAAAUCACAAGUUGUCACUCAAGAUAAAAGGUUGAUUUUGUAGAAGCAGAACAUAGAAUGGUGGUUAACAGAUGCUGAGGAAUGGCGGAGAGAGAGUCAGAAGGAAAUCAGUAGCAGUAUUAAUGAAGGAAAGCAGUCUUGGAGCUUCAUGGCCCAGCUUCUCAAACACGUGGUUGUCCAACUGAACGCAGAGAUCACAAGAACGUUGACAAGAGAAGAGGAUUCUGAAUGUACAAUCGCUACAAAUUAAUUUAGAAGAAAUGCAGAACAAAGUUGAGGUGUCUCUGGCAACAUUAUCCUAGGCUGCAUGGCAGGAUUCCACUCAGCCUUGGUUAUGAACAUGUAACACGAUGCACUGGGCACACUCUCAUGCAGUGACCAUGGAUGCUGGCUGAGACACUCCACCUUGGGACUACUGUAUGCUUUGAGUCACAGCGUCUCCCUGUACAUCAUGUUUUAUGCUUUUAUAGAAGCAUAAUGGUUUCAUCACAGAACACGAAGACUUUCAAUAUUCCCCUGCUAUCACUCACCAAUGUGUACCAAAUUGAUUUACCUUUGGAUUGUACUAUUAAAAUAUCGACACAUUG